GUGGUGGCUUAGUGGUAGAGCGCUUGCCUAGCAUGCGUGAGGCACUGGGUUCGAUUCUCAGCACCACA
rnacentral:tRNA from 1 species